rnacentral:lncRNA from 1 species
CGGAUGCAGAUGUGACCAAUUUGCUUCCCCGACACAAAGCACGCCGAAGCAGGGGCGAGGAGGCGAGGAAGGGCUGUGAAGUCGAUUUGCACAGCAGAACCAGUGAGAAGAGCGCUGCACUAUUUAUUCGCUUGCUUCCACCGGGGUCUUCAGUGUCCCAGCAAUGAGCCCUACAACACGGCAUCCGAUUAUACACAGAGCUCCAGGAUGAAGCCCUGCUUUCUCUGUCAUUACGGACGCAAAGCGUGGCUGUGCGAGCUGAGUAGCGCGAAUCACAGCGUGGCACUGCACACAGCAGGUCGGGGAGCACCUACUUCCCCUGCUGCCAUGAAUUGACAUCCCGGUGGACUCUGGAUGGAUUGUGACACAGAGCCGUUUCCAUCUAAUCCUGACCCUGAGUGGGAGACGUGGGGAUUUGUGGGCGCAGAAGCUGCGGGGAUGCUCAGCGUUCUGCAGAGCUCACAGCACUCGUGGUCCUCGAUGGUAACCGUGCAGUCACUGAGCGCGGGAGUGCUCCGAGCUAAGAGAUCUGUGGUCUCAGAUCUGGAGAACCUUCAAGAAGAAGUCUGAAUGGAAGCAGGAGUAGAGGAAGCCACCCCCUCCUCAGCACACGUCCCUCAUUCGGCAUCAUCACGCAGACAGGAAUAAUGCGCUGCCCUGCUAUCGCACUGCGCUCUCCUUUGGGACCGCAGGCAAACCAGGUUACCCUUACUGUCUUGCAAUCCCAACCUGUAGAACAGAGAUAGUGCUGCCUGCAGUAAGUGCCUGCCAAGUGCUUGAACGUGAGGGCUGUUACUGCAAAAUACCAUGCAGCUCUCACCUCGGCUGCCUGGGGCCGGCACAUGGGGCACAGCGGAGCUCACGCACACCAGCAGUGCUUUCCUGCAUGAUUUCCUGCUCCUGCGAUUCAAGAAAAGCAAACCGAAACAAAGCAA